GCCGGGCAUGGUGGUGGGCGCCUGUAAUCCCAGCUACUCGGGAGGCUGAGGCAGGAGAAUCCCUUGAACCCAGGAGGCUUAGGUUGCAGUGAGCUGAGAUUGUGCCACUGCACUCCAACCUGGGCAACAGAGUGAAAUUCUGUCUCAA
ensembl:misc_RNA Metazoa_SRP Metazoan signal recognition particle RNA